rnacentral:tRNA from 2 species
GGGUUGGUAACAAACGCUGGCUUUGUAGCGGUUUCUUACACCGUCACGACGUGGGUUCGAUUCCCACCCGACCCA